CCUACGGGUGGCAGCAGUGAGGAAUAUUGGUCAAUGGGCGCGAGCCUGAACCAGCCAAGUCGCGUGAGGGAAGACGGUCCUAUGGAUUGUAAACCUCUUUAAUCGGGGACGAAUUUUGACGGUACCCGAAGAAUAAGCUCCGGCUAACUACGUGCCAGCAGCCGCGGUAAUACGUAGGGAGCAAGCGUUAUCCGGAUUUACUGGUUGUAAAGGGCGUGUAGGCGGGCAUGCAAGCCAGAAGUGAAAUCUGGGGGCUUAACCCCCAAACUGCUUUUGUAACUGCGUGUCUUGAGUGAUGGAGAGGCAGGCGGAAUUCCCAGUGUAGCGGUGAAAUGCGUAGAUAUUGGGAGGAAAACCAGUGGCGAAGGCGGCCUGCUGGACAUUAACUGACGCUGAGGCGCGAAAGCGUGGGGAGCAAACAGGAUUAGAUACCCCAGUAGUC
rnacentral:rRNA from 1 species